UUUUGGACAAUGGGCGCAAGCCUGAUCCAGCCAUUCCGCGUGCAGGAUGAAGGCCCUCGGGUUGUAAACUGCUUUUGUACGGAACGAAACGGCGCUUUCUAAUACAGGGCGCUAAUGACGGUACCGUAAGAAUAAGCACCGGCUAACUACGGUCCAGCAGCCGCGGUAAUACGUAGGGUGGCAAGCGUUGUUCGGAAUUACUGGGCGUAAAGGGCGCGUAGGCGGCCAUCUAAGUCAGACGUGAAAUCCCCCGGCUUAACCUGGGAACUGCGUCUGAUACUGGACGGCUUGAGUUUGGGAGAGGGAUGCAGAAUUCCAGGUGUAGCGGUGAAAUGCGUAGAUAUCUGGAGGAAUACCGGUGGCGAAGGCGGCAUCCUGGACCAACACUGACGCUGAGGCGCGAAAGCUAGGGGAGCAAAC
rnacentral:rRNA from 1 species